rnacentral:lncRNA from 1 species
GCACGGCAGGGGCGGAUGCGGUUACGUUGUGUCGCGAGAAUCGAGGAUCUGGCGAGAAAUCGGAAUCGAAGAGGCAGGACAAAGAUGCCGGCUGCCACUUCUCUCCUCAGACUCAGACAUGACAGCCGCCUCCCUCCCGAGGACGCCCACCCAACCAGAGUGAGGCCCUUCUCCCAGACUUGGUUUGCCGCACUGCCCCGCCCAUAACAACGUUAUUCACCUCCC